UUGAGACAGCCUCUCCCUGAACCUGGAGAUCACCAGUCAGUCCUCAAGCUCUCAUUUCUUCCAUGUUCUCUGGCGUCCUACCAUCCACACUGCAAGCUAGAGACCCAGGAAAGCUGCUGGGGUUUCUAGAGGCCUGAGACCCAAGGGCAGUGUGAGACACAAAUGCCUUGAACUGGGAACAUGGAGAACAGAAGAUCCUGUCCUGUUAAAGAAGUCAGACCCAGGGAAGACACACCCAGGACUAAUGUUUAGUCACUUUUCUGGCUGACACAAAACCCACUACUGCCACACUUAGGGAAUAUGGAAAUCACUUGGAGAUCCUGUGCUGUGCCACAGUCCUUCUGUGCUAGCUGGUAGGAACGGUGCCCAGGUGAGCUUUGGAGGCAAGCCCAGUUUUGUCUUUUCCAGUCAAGGGCACAGGAGCCCAGAUGUGGCCCUUUCCUGGGCCUAAGCACAGUGUUCCUUGAGUAGUCUCUUCAGGGUCAGCCUCAGCCCUUCCUUCCCUGUUCACAGUGUGCUUCUGAGUCCAUGUGCCCAUCUCUGAC